rfam:Kozakia baliensis strain DSM 14400, complete genome.
UCAGACGGUCGGGCGAUCGCUGUGUUCAUGCCAAACAUGAAUAUGGAGGAAAGUCCGGGCUCCACGGGAGAACGGUGCCGGCUAACGGCCGGCGGGGGCGACCCUAGGGAAAGUGCCACAGAAAACAAACCGCCCGCCUGGCUUUCGGGCUGCGGGUAAGGGUGAAACGGUGCGGUAAGAGCGCACCGCCGCCGCGGCAACGCGGGGGGCAUGGCAAACCCCACCGGGAGCAAGACCGAAUAGGAAUGGCGGAUCGGCAUCCUCGGAUGCGCGAUCAGAGGUUCUCUCGCCUUGUCAUUCGGGUUGGUCGCGUGAGGCUCGUUGCGAGACGAGUCCCAGAGGAAUGAUCGCCCCGUCCUAGCGACGGACAGAACCCGGCUUACAGACCGUCUGACACU